rnacentral:rRNA from 1 species
CCUACGGGAGGCAGCAGUGGGGAAUAUUGCACAAUGGGGGGAACCUUGAUGCAGCGACGCCGCGUGAGUGAAGAAGUACUCCGGUAUGUAAAGCCCUAUCAGCAGGGAAGAAAAUGACGGUACCUGACCAAGAAGCCCCGGCUAACUACGUGCCAGCAGCCGCGGUAAUACGUAGGGGGCAAGCGUUAUCCGGAUUUACUGGGUGUAAAGGGAGCGUAGACGGCAAGGCAAGUCUGGAGUGAAAGCCCGUGGCCCAACCCCGGGACUGCUUUGGAAACUGUGUUGCUGGAGUGUAGGAGGGGUAGGCGGAAUUCCUAGUGUAGCGGUGAAAUGCGUAGAUAUUAGGAGGAACACCGGUGGCGAAGGCGGCCUACUGGACUGUAACUGACGUUGAGGCUCGAAGGCGUGGGGAGCAAACAGGAUUAGAUACCCCAGUAGUC